UGCAUGUUGCAGUUAAAAGCUCGUAGUUGGAUUUGUGGCCUACGGUGUGUUCCGGGCACUUGUUGUCUGAGUAACCUGCUGUUGCCAUCCUUGGGUGGAACCUGUGUGGCAUUAGGUUGUCGUGCAGGGGAUGCCCAUCAUUUACUGUGAAAAAAUUAGAGUGUUCAAAGCAGGCUUAUGCCGUUGAAUAUAUUAGCAUGGAAUAAUGAGAUAGGACUUUUUUGCUAUUUUGUUGGUUUGCGCAAGAAGGUAAUGAUUAAUAGGGACAGUUGGGGGUAUUCGUAUUCCAUUGUCAGAGGUGAAAUUCUUGGAUUUUUGGAAGACGAACUACUGCGAAAGCAUUUACCAAGGAUGUUUUCAUUAAUCAAGAACGAAAGUUAGGGGAUCGAAGAUGAUUAGAUACCAAUG
rnacentral:rRNA from 1 species